rnacentral:rRNA from 1 species
UACAGAGGGUGCGAGCGUUAAUCGGAAUUACUGGGCGUAAAGCGCACGUAGGCGGCUCUGCAAGUCGGUUGUGAAAUCCCCGGGCUCAACCUGGGAACUGCGACCGAGACUGCAUUGCUAGAGUAUGGGAGAGGAAAGUGGAAUGCUUGGUGUAGAGGUGAAAUUCGUAGAUAUCAAGCGGAACACCGGUGGCGAAGGCGGCCUUCUGGGCCGUCCCUGACGCUGAGGAGCGAAAGCGUGGGGAGCGAACAGG